AUACGGAGGUGGCAAACGUUGCUCGGAAUCACUGGGCUUAAAGGGCGUGUAGGCGGUCAUCCAAGUCGGGUGUGAAAUCUCUCGGCUCAACCGAGAAACUGCAUUCGAAACUGAAUGACUAGAGUGCGGGAGGGGCAAGUGGAACUCCAGGUGUAGCGGUGAAAUGAGUAGAUAUCUGGAGGAACGCCAGUGGCGAAAGCGACUUGCUGGACCGCAACUGACGCUGAGGCGCGAAAGCCAGGGGAGCGAACGGGAUUAGAAACCCCAGUAGUCC
rnacentral:rRNA from 1 species